GUCGAGGGGCAGCAUGAUUUGUAGCAAUACAGAUUGAUGGCGACCGGCGCACGGGUGAGUAACGCGUAUGCAACUUACCUAUCAGAGGGGGAUAGCCCGGCGAAAGUCGGAUUAAUACCCCAUAAAACAGGGGUCCCGCAUGGGAAUAUUUGUUAAAGAUUCAUCGCUGAUAGAUAGGCAUGCGUUCCAUUAGGCAGUUGGCGGGGUAACGGCCCACCAAACCGACGAUGGAUAGGGGUUCUGAGAGGAAGGUCCCCCACAUUGGUACUGAGACACGGACCAAACUCCUACGGGAGGCAGCAGCGAGGAAUAUUGGUCAAUGGCCGAGAGGCUGAACCAGCCAAGUCGCGUGAAGGAAGAAGGAUCUAUGGUUUGUAAACUUCUUUUAUAGGGGAAUAAAGUGGAGGACGUGUCCUUUUUUUGUAUGUACCCUAUGAAUAAGCAUCGGCUAACUCCGUGCCAGCAGCCGCGGUAAUACGGAGGAUGCGAGCGUUAUCCGGAUUUAUUGGGUUUAAAGGGUGCGUAGGUGGUGAUUUAAGUCAGCGGUGAAAGUUUGUGGCUCAACCAUAAAAUUGCCGUUGAAACUGGGUUACUUGAGUGUGUUUGAGGUAGGCGGAACGCGUGGUGUAGCGGUGAAAUGCAUAGAUAUCACGCAGAACUCCGAUUGCGAAGGCAGCUUACUAAACCAUAACUGACACUGAAGCACGAAAGCGUGGGGAUCAAACAGGAUUAGAUACCCUGGUAGUCCACGCAGUAAACGAUGAUUACUAGGAGUUUGCGAUACAAUGUAAGCUCUACAGCGAAAGCGUUAA
rnacentral:rRNA from 1 species